ensembl:lncRNA
CAGGAACUCCAGUGUUUUAAUGCUGACACGUGACAUCUCACAAUCAACCUUAUCUUACUUUAAGCUUCUGAAAUCCCUCUUAUCAAAUUGAUCAAAGCUUCUUUGGAGGAGGAUUUUAUUGAGUAUAAAUGUGUUUAAAAACCCAAAACAAACCAGUUGUUCUUUUUACAGUAAAGUCUGGGACUGGAGAAAAGGCUGAGUAUUAUGAUGAUGUCAUCGACACCAGUGACUUCAUAAGUGGGUGCAGUUGUUAACUGAUGACAUAAAUUUACUGACUUCACAUUAAACCAUGAGGUCAGAAUGUGACGGAGCUGUUUGUACAGAGCCUCUGCUUUUAUUUCAUUUAGGUGAUACAGGAAGAGUUGACCCACCAGAGGACUACGAUGAUGCCGUCACUGCUGGACCGAUCCCUGAUAACGUGGAUGAGGAUGAAGCUGAGAAUUAUGAUGACGCCGUUACAGCUGAUCAGAAGUCAGUUAUACUGACAGAGGACGUGUCCGAGAACUACGACGAUGCAGUUCCCACUGAAACGAACACAAACAUCAUCACAGGUCAGUUUCUUUCUGGAAACAGACAAAAAAAGAAAA